CCUACUGGAGGCAGCAGUGGGGAAUAUUGCACAAUGGGGGAAACCCUGAUGCAGCGACGCCGCGUGAGUGAAGAAGUAAUUCGUUAUGUAAAGCUCUAUCAGCAGGGAAGAAAAUGACGGUACCUGAGUAAGAAGCCCCGGCUAACUACGUGCCAUCAGCCGCGGUAAUACGUAGGGGGCAAGCGUUAUCCGGCUUUACUGGGUGUAAAGGGCGAUUAGACGGCAGUGCAAGGCUGGAGUGAAAGGGGGGGGCUCAACCCCCGGACUGCUCUGGAAACUGUACGGCGUGAGUGGAGGAGAGGUAAGUGGAAUUCCUAGGGUAGCGGUGAAAUGCGUAGAUAUUAGGAGGAACACCAGUGGCGAAGGCGGCUUACUGGACUGUAACUGACGUUGAGGCUCGAAAGCGUGGGGAGCAAACAGGAUUAGAUACCCUUGUAGUC
rnacentral:rRNA from 1 species